rnacentral:rRNA from 1 species
UACGUAGGGUGCAAGCGUUGUCCGGAUUUAUUGGGCGUAAAGAGCUCGUAGGCGGUUCGGUAAGUCGGGUGUGAAACCUCCAGGCUCAACCUGGAGACGCCACCUGAUACUGCUGUGACUCGAGUCCGGUAGGGGAGCGUGGAAUUCCUGGUGUAGCGGUGAAAUGCGCAGAUAUCAGGAGGAACACCAGCGGCGAAGGCGGCGCUCUGGGCCGGAACUGACGCUGAGGAGCGAAAGCGUGGGUAGCAAACAGG